UGUCAACUUGUCCCCAAAAUCUCCAUUGCAACCCAUACAUAUCACUUCGAGUCGUCCUGUGCCGUGCAUGCGGACUGUGAAGCUAAAGUUGCCGCCUUAACGCAGGGAAUACUGGGCAGAAAAAGAGACAUGCCUUGUUCUAUGCGAUGUUGUAACACAACCCUGUGUAACCAGCUAUCAUGCGGUCAAGUGACAACACCAGUUGCUGAUCCCUGCUCAUCCAAUCCCUG